rnacentral:lncRNA from 1 species
GCCCCUGAACCCCAGAACAACCAGCUGGAUCAAUUCUCAUAGGAGCCACAGCGCGGAGACUGUGUAAGUCAACAAUCCCCAGAGUUGGGACAGGAGGGGCAGCGACAGGGCAGCAACUGAGGGAGAAGGGAGCUGACGUUAGUGCUUAGGAGAUGUGGCACACUUUGGGGACAGGAAGGAACAGGAAAUGGGACCCAAGAGUGGCAGCAGAUUGGCCUGUGGGGUGAGACACUAUGGUGUGUGUCACAACCGAGACAGAAUCGGGGAGUAGUUACUUCUCUUCUUUUCUCACAGGAAACAUGGUUCCAAAACUGUUCACUUCCCAAAUUUGUCUGCUUCUUCUGUUGGGGCUUCUGGCUGUGGAGGGCUCACUCCAUGUCAAACCUCCACAGUUUACCUGGGCUCAGGGGUUUGACGUCCAUCAGUAGGAACCAGCUCCAAUGCACCAAUGCAAUGCGGGUAAUUAACAAUUAUCAACGGCGAUGGAAAAACCAAAAUACUUUUCUUCUUGCAACUUUUGCUAAUGUAGUUAAUGUUUGUGGUAACCCAACUAUAACCUGCCCUCAUAACAGAACUCUCAACAAUUGUCAUCAUAGUGGAGUCCAGGUGCCUUUAAUGUACUGUAACCUCACAACUCCAAGUCCACAGAAUAUUUCAAACUGCAGGUAUGCGCAGACACCAGCAAACAUGUUCUAUAUAGUUGCAUGUGACAACAGGGAUCAACGACGGGACCCUCCACAGUAUCCAGUGGUUCCAGUUCACCUGGAUACCAUCAUCUAAGCUCCUGUAUCAGCACUCCUCGUCAUCACUCAUCUGCCAAGCUCCUCAAUCAUAGCCAAGAUCCCAUCCCUCCAUGUACUCUGGGUGUCAGCAUCUGUCCUCUUCAGUCUCUAUACCCCUUCCACUUGCCUGAGCUGAAGUGCCUUGUGAAGC